AGACCGCUGGUGUUGUCUUAGACUUCCGCUUCUCAUCAACCUGAAGUCUAAGCCUAGCUGUAUCCAAAGGAAAAAAUACAGUCAUUGCAGUCACACUGCCCACGGCGCCGGACACGGCGUGCACCAGGCUCUCAUAGGAGACGACGGAAGACAUGGCCGCGGCUCUGGUGGGCUCCGGCUGCGAGGCGGCGGCGGCGCGGAGCUCCAGCUUAUCGACCGUCGCCCCCACGCGCGCCAUUGCGCCCGCCCUGCCGCG
rnacentral:lncRNA from 1 species